rnacentral:tRNA from 1 species
AAGAUAUUAGUAAAAUGAAUAUUACACCACCUUGUCAAGAUGGAACUGCAGGUUAAAUCCCUGCAUAUCUUA